GGUUUUUCUAGAAAUAAUUGAGAUGUUUUUGGAGUGAUUAUAUUCAUACUAAAUCAGUUUUUCAUUUGGUAAUGGUUUGGAUAUCGAUUUCUUGAAAACAAGUGAGAUUUUGAUAUUUUUCUGAAAUCCAGGAAUUUAGAUUAGAAGAGGUUAUUCUGAGGCUUUUAGUUGGGAUUAGUUGUUAAUAAUUAUUGUUCUUGACCAUUUUCUAUCGAGAAAGAGUUUUGCCAAUCGAAUCAGAAGUGCUAAGGAUUGUGUCGGCGUUUCUUGAGUUGCUUGUUGGGGAGAAUUGUUGCAUUAUGUUUUGGUGGCAGUUUCCUAAGUGUCCGGAGCCAAUUUCGGUUUAGUGGGCAACAAAGAGGACUAGUUACUGAUUUGGAGGUGAUAAACGGGUACUUGGUGUGAUCAAGCAAGGCAAUACUAAGAAAUAAAGCGUAUGUGUGAUUUCCUUAAAGAUGGCAAUGUGGGAACCAUUGGGAACCUAGACAUUUGAUUUGCAUAUGACGUAAUAAGGAGAUUUUGAGUUUUGGAGUUUAAUUUGUGGUGAUGAUUGCUUAAUAAGUUGGACUUGUGAAAUUGUGUGGUUAUGUGUAUGUUCUUGUUAUUUUGAAUAUGGAAAUUUGAUUGACGUUGAAAUAUGAUUUAAGAAAGUGAUUAGAGUGUUUAGACAAGUGUCACAAAAUAAACUAAACAUAAUAGGCUCAUAGGAUGCAUGUAAUGACCCAAAAUGCAUAAUUGGACUAGGUGACUUGUGUUAAAGAUGAACUUUUAUGCAAUGUUUGACUUUUGAUGCUAAAUUCUUGUAUGUUGUGGUGACUUGGGUUAUGAAGCAUGAUACAAAUGU